UUAAGCGACUAAGCGUACACGGUGGAUGCCCUGGCAGUCAGAGGCGAUGAAGGACGUGCUAAUCUGCGAUAAGCGUCGGUGAGGUGAUAUGAACCGUUAUAACCGGCGAUUUCCGAAUGGGGAAACCCAGUGUGUUUCGACACACUAUCAUUAACUGAAUCCAUAGGUUAAUGAGGCGAACCGGGGGAACUGAAACAUCUAAGUACCCCGAGGAAAAGAAAUCAACCGAGAUUCCCCCAGUAGCGGCGAGCGAACGGGGAGCAGCCCAGAGCCUGAAUCAGUGUGUGUGUUAGUGGAAGCGUCUGGAAAGGCGCGCGAUACAGGGUGACAGCCCCGUACACAAAAAUGCACAUGCUGUGAGCUCGAUGAGUAGGGCGGGACACGUGGUAUCCUGUCUGAAUAUGGGGGGACCAUCCUCCAAGGCUAAAUACUCCUGACUGACCGAUAGUGAACCAGUACCGUGAGGGAAAGGCGAAAAGAACCCCGGCGAGGGGAGUGAAAAAGAACCUGAAACCGUGUACGUACAAGCAGUGGGAGCCUCUUAAUGGGGUGACUGCGUACCUUUUGUAUAAUGGGUCAGCGACUUAUAUUCUGUAGCAAGGUUAACCGAAUAGGGGAGCCGAAGGGAAACCGAGUCUUAACUGGGCGUUAAGUUGCAGGGUAUAGACCCGAAACCCGGUGAUCUAGCCAUGGGCAGGUUGAAGGUUGGGUAACACUAACUGGAGGACCGAACCGACUAAUGUUGAAAAAUUAGCGGAUGACUUGUGGCUGGGGGUGAAAGGCCAAUCAAACCGGGAGAUAGCUGGUUCUCCCCGAAAGCUAUUUAGGUAGCGCCUCGUGAAUUCAUCUCCGGGGGUAGAGCACUGUUUCGGCAAGGGGGUCAUCCCGACUUACCAACCCGAUGCAAACUGCGAAUACCGGAGAAUGUUAUCACGGGAGACACACGGCGGGUGCUAACGUCCGUCGUGAAGAGGGAAACAACCCAGACCGCCAGCUAAGGUCCCAAAGUCAUGGUUAAGUGGGAAACGAUGUGGGAAGGCCCAGACAGCCAGGAUGUUGGCUUAGAAGCAGCCAUCAUUUAAAGAAAGCGUAAUAGCUCACUGGUCGAGUCGGCCUGCGCGGAAGAUGUAACGGGGCUAAACCAUGCACCGAAGCUGCGGCAGCGACGCUUAUGCGUUGUUGGGUAGGGGAGCGUUCUGUAAGCCUGUGAAGGUGUACUGUGAGGUAUGCUGGAGGUAUCAGAAGUGCGAAUGCUGACAUAAGUAACGAUAAAGCGGGUGAAAAGCCCGCUCGCCGGAAGACCAAGGGUUCCUGUCCAACGUUAAUCGGGGCAGGGUGAGUCGACCCCUAAGGCGAGGCCGAAAGGCGUAGUCGAUGGGAAACAGGUUAAUAUUCCUGUACUUGGUGUUACUGCGAAGGGGGGACGGAGAAGGCUAUGUUGGCCGGGCGACGGUUGUCCCGGUUUAAGCGUGUAGGCUGGUUUUCCAGGCAAAUCCGGAAAAUCAAGGCUGAGGCGUGAUGACGAGGCACUACGGUGCUGAAGCAACAAAUGCCCUGCUUCCAGGAAAAGCCUCUAAGCAUCAGGUAACAUCAAAUCGUACCCCAAACCGACACAGGUGGUCAGGUAGAGAAUACCAAGGCGCUUGAGAGAACUCGGGUGAAGGAACUAGGCAAAAUGGUGCCGUAACUUCGGGAGAAGGCACGCUGAUAUGUAGGUGAAGUCCCUCGCGGAUGGAGCUGAAAUCAGUCGAAGAUACCAGCUGGCUGCAACUGUUUAUUAAAAACACAGCACUGUGCAAACACGAAAGUGGACGUAUACGGUGUGACGCCUGCCCGGUGCCGGAAGGUUAAUUGAUGGGGUUAGCGGUAACGCGAAGCUCUUGAUCGAAGCCCCGGUAAACGGCGGCCGUAACUAUAACGGUCCUAAGGUAGCGAAAUUCCUUGUCGGGUAAGUUCCGACCUGCACGAAUGGCGUAAUGAUGGCCAGGCUGUCUCCACCCGAGACUCAGUGAAAUUGAACUCGCUGUGAAGAUGCAGUGUACCCGCGGCAAGACGGAAAGACCCCGUGAACCUUUACUAUAGCUUGACACUGAACAUUGAGCCUUGAUGUGUAGGAUAGGUGGGAGGCUUUGAAGUGUGGACGCCAGUCUGCAUGGAGCCGGCCUUGAAAUACCACCCUUUAAUGUUUGAUGUUCUAACGUUGGCCCCUGACCGGGGUUGCGGACAGUGUCUGGUGGGUAGUUUGACUGGGGCGGUCUCCUCCUAAAGAGUAACGGAGGAGCACGAAGGUUGGCUAAUCCUGGUCGGACAUCAGGAGGUUAGUGCAAUGGCAUAAGCCAGCUUGACUGCGAGCGUGACGGCGCGAGCAGGUGCGAAAGCAGGUCAUAGUGAUCCGGUGGUUCUGAAUGGAAGGGCCAUCGCUCAACGGAUAAAAGGUACUCCGGGGAUAACAGGCUGAUACCGCCCAAGAGUUCAUAUCGACGGCGGUGUUUGGCACCUCGAUGUCGGCUCAUCACAUCCUGGGGCUGAAGUAGGUCCCAAGGGUAUGGCUGUUCGCCAUUUAAAGUGGUACGCGAGCUGGGUUUAGAACGUCGUGAGACAGUUCGGUCCCUAUCUGCCGUGGGCGCUGGAGAACUGAGGGGGGCUGCUCCUAGUACGAGAGGACCGGAGUGGACGCAUCACUGGUGUUCGGGUUGUCAUGCCAAUGGCACUGCCCGGUAGCUAAAUGCGGAAGAGAUAAGUGCUGAAAGCAUCUAAGCACGAAACUUGCCCCGAGAUGAGUUCUCCCUGACUCCUUGAGAGUCCUGAAGGAACGUUGAAGACGACGACGUUGAUAGGCCGGGUGUGUAAGCGCAGCGAUGCGUUGAGCUAACCGGUACUAAUGAACCGUGAGGCUUAACCU
rnacentral:rRNA from 1 species